CAGCAGCCGCGGGAACACGUAGGGUGCGAGCGUUAAUCGGAAUUACUGGGCGUAAAGCGUGCGCAGGCGGUUGUGUAAGACAGGUGUGAAAUCCCCGGGCUUAACCUGGGAACUGCGCUUGUGACUGCACAGCUAGAGUAUGGCAGAGGGGGGUGGAAUUCCACGUGUAGCAGUGAAAUGCGUAGAGAUGUGGAGGAACACCGAUGGCGAAGGCAGCCCCCUGGGCCAAUACUGACGCUCAUGCACGAAAGCGUGGAGAGCAAACAGGAUUAGAUACCCCCGUAGUCCCUGUCUCUUAUAC
rnacentral:rRNA from 1 species